CCUACGGGAGGCAGCAGGGGGGAAUAUUGCGCAAUGGGCGAAAGCCUGACGCAGCGACGCCGCGUGAGGGAUGAAGGUCUUCGGAUCGUAAACCUCUGUCAGCAGGGAAGAACGGUCACUGUGCUAAUCAGCAGUGAAUUGACGGUACCUGCAAAGGAAGCACCGGGUAACUCCGUGCCAGCAGCCGCGGUAAUACGGGGGGGGCAAGCGUGAAUCGGAAUUACUGGGCGUAAAGCGCUCGUAGGCGGUAGGUCAAGUCAAGGGUGAAAUCCCCGUGCUCAACGUGGGAACUGCCUUUGAACCGGGCAAACUGAGGUGGGUGAAAGGAUGGUGGAAUUCCAGGUGUAGG
rnacentral:rRNA from 1 species